rnacentral:rRNA from 1 species
GACGAACGCUGGCGGCGUGCUUAACACAUGCAAGUCGAGCGGAGCGGCGAACGGGUGAGUAACGCGUGAGUAACUGCCCCCCUCUCUGGGAUAACAGUUGGAAACGGCUGAUAAUACCGGCUAGUGGGGCUGGAUACGCGUCCUAUCAGCUUGUUGGUGGGGUAGGGGCCUACCAAGGCGACGACGGGUAGCCGGCCUGAGCGGGCGACCGGCCACCAUGGGCUGAGAUACGGCCCAAACUCCUACGGGAUGCAGAAGUGGGGAAUAUGGCACAAUGGGGGAAACCCUGAUGCAGCAACGCCGCGUGCGGGAUGACGGCCUUCGGGUUGUAAACCGCUUUCAUCCAUGACGCGGUAGUGGCAGAAGAAGCACCGGCUAACUACGUGCCAGCAGCCGCGGUAAUAC